rnacentral:rRNA from 1 species
CCUGCCGGAGGCCAUUGCUAUCGGAGUCCGAUUUAGCCAUGCUAGUCGCGCGGGUUAGACCCGCGGCAAAUAGCUCAGUAACACGUGGCCAAACUACCCUAUGGACCCGGACAACCUCGGGAAACUGAGGCUAAUCCGGGAUAGGGCUCCCAUGCUGGAGUGCAGGGAGUCCGAAAAGCUCAGGCGCCAUAGGAUGUGGCUGCGGCCGAUUAGGUAGACGGUGGGGUAACGGCCCACCGUGCCCAUAAUCGGUACGGGUUGUGAGAGCAAGAGCCCGGAGAUGGAAUCUGAGACAAGAUUCCAGGCCCUACGGGGCGCAGCAGGCGCGAAACCUUUACACUGCACGCGAGUGCGAUAGGGGGACCCCGAGUGCGAGGGCAUACAGUCCUCGCUUUUUUGUACCGUAAGGUGGUACAAGAAUAAGGGCUGGGCAAGACCGGUGCCAGCCGCCGCGGUAAUACCGGCAGCCCGAGUGAUGGCCAAUAUUAUUGGGCCUAAAGCGUCCGUAGCCGGCCGAACAAGUCCGUCGGGAAAUCCAUCCGCCUAACGGAUGGGCGUCCGGCGGAAACUGUUCGGCUUGGGACAGGAAGACCCGAGGGGUACGUCCGGGGUAGGAGUGAAAUCCCGUAAUCCUGGACGGACCGCCGAUGGCGAAAGCACCUCGGGAAGACUGAUCCGACGGUGAGGGACGAAAGCUAGGGUCUCGAACCGGAUUAGAUACCCGGGUAGUCCUAGCCGUAAACGAUGUCCGCUAGGUGUGGCGCAGGCUACGAGCCUGCGCUGUGCCGUAGGGAAGCCGUGAAGCGGACCGCCUGGGAAGUACGUCUGCAAGGAUGAAACUUAAAGGAAUUGGCGGGGGAGCACUAC